ensembl:lncRNA
ACUGGGCCUCUAAAAAGCAAAUGUCUAUGUCUUACAGGCUGAAUUCUGUGAAAAAUCAUCACCAUUUUCUUUUGGUGGCAACUCGAUUGUAAUAACACAUCAAGCUGUCCCGUGUUGCCACGGUGUAUGAAAUGAAUAAAACGUGUGACCCUUUGACCCAGCCCUCUUUCACAGACUCAUCCCUAUUCCUGGACAUCAGCUUUCACUCCCUAAAUUUCAACAUCAGAGAAGCAGGACUCUUAUCUGUGAUGUUUGUCUGAACUUUCACUUCGCUGCGAGCUCAAUAUUAAAGCAGCGUUAUCUCCUCGGAGCGACAACGCGCGCAACCGUCCAUAGGAAAUCAUUCCCGGGCUUAUCCGCCGUGCAGAUUUAUGGACACGGGGCGCACGGCCUGAAUGCAAAGAAUGAGGUUCGAUAAGAAAACAGCAGAGGAAGAUGAGGAAUCGCUUCUGAGUGUGUGGGACGUAACCAUGCGGCCCCGGCGCUGUGAAACCCAAACGGUCCCCAGGAGGCGAUUACGGGCGUUUAUGUGGUCCGUUUUUUCCCUCCGUGUGCUGCACAUUUACAGCGUCAAGGUACAGAGAAGCCUGCAGCUUGUAACAUCCGCCCUGUUAGAGACAGCAGGUCACAAAGUGAGAUUCAUGCAGGGGGAAGCUGCGUUAGCAGUGAAUAAUAAAGCGACAAUAAAGCGCUCUGCUUCCCAAUCAACACAACACAGAUGACGAGAGACGCCGGUCCAGGCGAGCGCGAGUCGGACUUAAUGGCGUCAUAAAAAAAAAAACAACACGCACGAAGAAGCUGUUACGCUAAUUGUUUGUAGCAACGCAGUGAUUUAGUGCAUUGGAGAAGAUGGAACCAUUGUCCUCUGCGCUCAUUAAGAUCAUAUUGUGUUGAAAGAAGCCCGGAGUGUGUGUGUGUGUGUGUGUGUGUGUGUGGGCUGGCAUCUCGCUCGUCUCUUUGGCGAUGAACACGAGCGCGUGACUCUUCGGCGCCGCUGAGAGUGAGCGUGAGAGUGAACGGGGUCGUCGCUUUAAAUCACUCCGGCUUUGUGAGACACGAGAAUGCUUUGUUCUGUUCAUCUGUUCUUCACUGUGUGUGUGUGUGUGUGUUCAUUACCAGGCGUGCACUUCGGUCUGCCCUGUGGAGCCUCCUCGCCACGCGUGUGCGUGUGUGUGUGUGUGUGUGUGUGUGCAUAAAAGACGGGUGCUACAUUGUCUCUGUGGGUAUCUGAUUGUCCCUCGUCUUCAUUGAGCACUUGACCUUCUCUGCUCCCGCGUAAUGAUUUGCUGCAGGGGGACGCGGGGGGACGAAGGGGGACGAAGGGGGACGAAGGGGGGAGAGUCACAAAGUGUGUGAGCGCUGGGUCCAGACAUCAGAGCGCCUCUUUCUCUGUUAUCCUGCGGCGAUGCUUUAUUUGAAGUGGGAGGUUUGCCAAAGCGCGCGGGCCAAUCACCAGCGCUCCACUGUAAACAUCUGUAUGGUCACACCAGAUGUUCCCUCAGAUCGCUCCUCCGGUUCCUUUGUCUGGAAGUUAAUUUGCCUGGAAUGAGGUCUUUAAGACGAGUUGACGCUUUGUCUUCGAGAUGAGACGGAAAAGUAAACUCUCUCAUUUUGAAGCUUUCAGCUUGGCGGCUAAGUCGUUAUUACGCCUCCAGUCGGCCUUCAGGGUCACUUCUGUUUGUUCCUCCUCAUCAAGCUCCACUCGGACCCCUUAUUAAUAUUUACAAUGAAUUAGUUAACAAUACUUCAGAGUUGUGUUGCUUUUAGUUGCGUUUCAGCUUUUCUGCACUUUAACCACAAACAGAGGGCAUCUUCCCUCUCGGCGAAGGACCGGGGCGGAUUUGUGCGUCGGGAACAUUGUGUGCUCUCAGAAUGUACUUGUUAGCUUUCGGUUAACCACAUGGAGAGUUUUUCACCCAGCGGCGUUGGCAGGAGUCACGUCCCGACUUCAGGCAGGGAGAGACAGACGGCAGGAAACAUUAAUCAUCCACAUUGUGCGGCUGCUCACUAUUCAGCGUCUCUCACAAGGAAUUCAAGCAUCAGGUGAAUAAAUAAGUAAAUCACGGAUGGUUGUUAGGACUCAAAGGACCUCAUGGGACCUUUUUUUGUUUGUUUCAUCCAUAUUGGGGAUUGAACCCCCGGAAACCCGGCCUACGCUUUGCGUUGCCGCCCUUUGACCCAAGUGGCCUCACGGCACACGUUUGUAAUCCAGCAUCCGUCCCUCGCCGAGAGAUAUUUAGACAUCCAGACUGAUAAAUAGAAGUCGUCUUCGACACUGAAACCUCUUGCUUAAUUAUAUGCAAAUAUAAGGCAAUAAUUCCAUUAUUAUGCUAAACUGCACAGAGCACACAAGGGGGGGAAGAGGAAAACUCUGCAUAUUCAAUCAAAGCUCACAGGUAUUGGCAUGCUCAUUUGAAUUCAGCCUUUGACUCAAGGAACCGACAUGAGCGACCUGAUGAGGGAUCUAAGCGCCUCAUGAAUAUGAACGCGAGUGAUCAUUUGUAGAAUAAGAAGGAUGCUUUGAUUCAAAGCGCCCUUAGACGUAAGUGGAAGGCGCCGCUGCAUCGCGCCAAAGGUGACACAACCGCUGGGGCAGCGCCCACCGCGGCCCCCGGACAAUCCUGCAGGAAAUGUGAGCACGGUUUCUAGCGUGUUGGGAGAAACACGCGAUGCAGACCGCGUGCAUGCAGACCAAUAUUAAACAGUAAAUUACGACGGCUCGUCUCGACGGAAUUAGAAGCAAUAAAGCUGACAGAUGGAGGAGAAGGAACGUCAACGUGUGCCAUUGUUUUCCUCUCAUCUCCCCCCCGAAUACAGUGUGAACGCACACCUCGUAAUUAGCCGCUAACAGUUCAGGGGAUUAACUGUUGGGAAUAUUGUACUUGUGCAGAAGCUGCGCUGAGGAGACGACUUUGCGUUGCCCGGCGUCCGCCGGCCACCGCGCCUGCGUCGUGGCUGAAACGAGACGCGGACGCCGGUCUCAUUAACCAGGCGUUUUCCAGCUGGAGCGCACGCGGCGUUGCUAGGAUACGACGUGGGGCCGGCUGUGCACUGAGGUACCACUGACACCGGAGCUGGUUCAGCAGCUGAAAAACACACCGGAGAUCGAUUCCCGAUCAGCUCACGUUUGACUUCUUUUGACUUGUUUCCACUGAUUCUGUGUUGGAUGUCGUCUUAUGCUUCGUCAGUGCAAAUCGCGCCUUCCAAACUUUGCAUUUUCCUCAUUCGGUGAUUCGCUUAUUAUUCAGAAUGAUGUCAUCGGACCUUUUUGGUGUCAGCAGUUUGGUGCCUUGAAGGAAUUCCAAACCUCCUAAAUAAUUUGCAUGUCAAUACUCA